CAGGACCAGCAGCUUACACCCACCUCCCUCUAACUUCCAGCCUCCCCACCAAACCCACCCCCUCUCUGGUGGCGCGGGGAGGGGCUAGAGCAAAGCAACAGUCGCCAGAUGGGCUCAGCAUUGGGCAAGAAGGGAAGGGCUGCAGGACAGGACAAGAGAGACCUCAAACGAUGAGCUGAGAGAAGAAAUGUAAGGGGCUGGAGUAGGGAAGAAUAACCCCAACGUAAAAAGCUAGGACCGGGAGGGAAGCUGAGUCGGGGUUUUCCAGGGAGUUUGAGGUGGACUAAACGAGGAGGCCAGGCCAAGACUUUGUUAAAACCUCCUCAAAAGUGAGCACAAAUCACGAUGAACGGUGUUCUUCUCACAGUUGCUGUGUCUCUUCUCUGCCUGGUAAUGGGAAUGGAACUCAGUGCCUUGCACAUGCUAG